UUCGGAUUUGAAAAUAUUUGAAGUCCGUGGCCAAGUCUAUAUAAGGCCAUAAGUUUUCAUUUGUAAACACAGAUCUUAGAAUAUAGAACAAGAGUGCCUAAGAGAACCAAAAUUCUUUAAGCAACACCACUGUACUAAAAUUUAGAAGUCCUAUAAUGUUUUAAAAUAUUUCAAUAAAGAGUGUAAUUUCUGUUCCAUUUUUCUCUUUUUAAUAACUUAGGGUAAUUUCCAAAAGGGAAAAACACAUAAGCAGUGUGUGCUCUUUAAUUUAUAAGUAAGAAUUUUACCACUUUGAGAGUUUGAUAAGGAGUCAAAAGACCUUACUUAAAAAACCAAGAACCAUGUUUUGGAUUCUGAAAAGGAGGAACGUAAUUACCUGAGUCCGUGAAUCGGCUAUCAUUACGAUAGUUUGGUGUUUUGGCUAGAAGCUAAGGAGCCCAAGGGAGUGGAGUAACCAUUUGAGUUGCUAAGCAAGGGAGGCCGUCAAGACAUUAGGUGAAUAUCAGAAGGGCAAAAGAGCUUUGAAAGUCAGGUAUUAUCAUCCGAACUGGUUAACAAAGCAUAGCGAGAGGACUGGCUGAUUGAUAGAAUUGACAGGUUUAAGGUUCGUUAUGGUGUCCUAACUCCUUGGUCAUGGGGUUUCAUGCUGGAGAUUAUAUAGAUGUCUCGGCAUAGUAGAUUAUAGAGCCAUGAACAAAAAACUACUUAAACUACAGGGGCAAAACAUACGGCAAAUGAUCGAACAACGCCAAUUGGUUUGCCUGUUGGAAUAUUUAUAACCAAUCUAUAAUUUUUUUUUUUUUUGUUUAAUUUAUUGGAUGUGGCAAUAAAAUAAAAUUUUGGAAAUCCAUCGUAGUCAUAUAAUUGUUUUGUGGUUUAUUAUAUUAUAUUUUCUUUUCUAAUUUUCUUUAGUGGUGCAUGGGUCAGCGCAUAAAAAUUAGAAGGCUUUUGUUUUUUUGCGUGAGUCAGAGAUAAAGAAGACCAGGUUUAAUUACAAAGGUUUCCGAGAUUGAAUGCCUAUCCAUUUUCUCUGUUAAUCAGAUUGCAAAGUUUGCGGUGGAAGUGGAAUUCCCUUGAACGACCGAAAUUGUUAUUGGAAAUCUCAAAUUUCUUUUGACAAUCUUGGGUGUUUUCCAUGUAUUGAAAUCUGUUCAGCUGUUUAUUGUUAAAAUAAACGGAAGCAACAAUUGGAUAGAAAAGACGAAGAUAAAUAAACGGUGCAAGUUUGCAUGAAA